UACGUAGGGUGCGAGCGUUAAUCGGAAUUACUGGGCGUAAAGCGUGCGCAGGCGGUUUUGUAAGCCAGAUGUGAAAUCCCCGGGCUUAACCUGGGAAUGGCAUUUGGGACUGCAAGGCUGGAGUUUGGCAGAGGAGACUGGAAUUCCUGGUGUAGCAGUGAAAUGCGUAGAUAUCAGGAGGAAUACCGAUGGCGAAGGCAGGUCUCUGGGCUAUAACUGACGCUCAUGCACGAAAGCGUGGGGAGCAAACAGGG
rnacentral:rRNA from 1 species